GUGGGGAAUUUUGGACAAUGGGGGCAACCCUGAUCCAGCCAUUCCGCGUGAGUGAAGAAGGCCUUCGGGUUGUAAAGCUCUUUCGUCAGGAACGAAACGGCGGGCUCUAACAUAGCCUGUUAAUGACGGUACCUGAAGAAGAAGCACCGGCUAACUACGUGCCAGCAGCCGCGGUAAUACGUAGGGUGCGAGCGUUAAUCGGAAUUACUGGGCGUAACGCGUGCGCAGGCGGAUUGUUAAGCAAGACGUGAAAUCCCCGGGCUUAACCUGGGAAUGGCGUUUUGAACUGGCAGUCUAGAGUGUGUCAGAGGGGGGUGGAAUUCCACGUGUAGCAGUGAAAUGCGUAGAGAUGUGGAGGAACACCGAUGGCGAAGGCAGCCCCCUGGGAUGACACUGACGCUCAUGUACGAAAGCUAGGGCAGCGAACGGGAUUAGAUACCCCGGUAGUCC
rnacentral:rRNA from 1 species